rnacentral:tRNA from 1 species
UGGCUUAGUCAGUAAAGAAUCUGCCUGCAAUGCAGGAGACCCAGGUUCAAUUCCUGG